rnacentral:rRNA from 1 species
CAGCAGCCGCGGUAAAACGAAGGGGGCUAGCGUUGUUCGGAUUUACUGGGCGUAAAGCGCACGUAGGCGGAUUCUUAAGUCAGAGGCGAAAUCCCAAGGCUCAACCUUGGAACUGCCUUUGAUACUGGGGAUCUUGAGUCCGGGAGAGGUGAGUGGAACUGCGAGUGUAGAGGUGAAAUUCGUAGAUAUUCGCAAGAACACCAGUGGCGAAGGCGGCUCACUGGCCCGGAACUGACGCUGAGGUGCGAAGGCGUGGGGAGCAAACAGGAUUAGGUACCCCCGUAGUCCCUGUCUCUUAUAC